UUGUUAUGUGGUGGUGGUGCUCCUCCAUAGUUCGGUGGUGGUGGUGGUCCUCCAUAGUUUGGUGGUGGUGGUGCUCCUCCCAUGUUGCUUUGUGGUGGUGCUCCUCCGUAGUUAGGUGGUGGUGCUCCUCCAUAGUUUGCUGGAGGCCUCUGUCCUCCCAUGUUGUUCUGUGGUGGUGGUGGUCCCCCAUAGUUUGGUGGCGGCCUUUGUCCUCCCAUGUUCGGAGGUGGUGGUGGUGGUCCCCCGUAGUUCUGUCCCAUGUGAGGCGGAGGAGGUGCAGAGCCACCCAUGUGAGGUGGAGGAGGUGCAGAGCCACCCAUAUGAGGCGGAGGAGGACCGCCCAUUGGAGGACGUUGAGGAGGAG
rnacentral:lncRNA from 1 species